GGAGGGGUCGCAUAGUGGCCUAGUGCGUCCGCCUGCUAAGUGGAUAGGGGAGUAAUCCCCUCGCGGGUUCAAAUCCCGCCCCCUCCG
rnacentral:tRNA from 1 species